GAAUGCUGACAUAAGUAACGAUAAAGCGGGUGAAAAGCCCGCUCGCCGGAAGACCAAGGGUUCCUGUCCAACGUUAAUCGGGGCAGGGUGAGUCGACCCCUAAGGCGAGGCCGAAAGGCGUAGUCGAUGGGAAACAGGUUAAUAUUCCUGUACUUGGUGUUACUGCGAAGGGGGGACGGAGAAGGCUAUGUUGGCCGGGCGACGGUUGUCCCGGUUUAAGCGUGUAGGCUGAUUUUCCAGGCAAAUCCGGAAAAUCAAGGCUGAGGCGUGAUGACGAGGCACUACGGUGCUGAAGCAACAAAUGCCCUGCUUCCAGGAAAAGCCUCUAAGCAUCAGGUAACAUCAAAUCGUACCCCAAACCGACACAGGUGGUCAGGUAGAGAAUACCAAGGCGCUUGAGAGAACUCGGGUGAAGGAACUAGGCAAAAUGGUGCCGUAACUUCGGGAGAAGGCACGCUGAUAUGUAGGUGAAGCGACUUGCUCGUGGAGCUGAAAUCAGUCGAAGAUACCAGCUGGCUGCAACUGUUUAUUAAAAACACA
rnacentral:rRNA from 1 species